rnacentral:rRNA from 1 species
AAUCAACGCUGGCGGCGUGCCUCAGACAUGCAAGUCGAACGAUUAAAGCUCCCUUCGGGGAGUGCAUAAAGUGGCGCACGGGUGAGUAACACGUAAGUAAUCUACCCUCGAGUGGGGAAUAACGUCCGGAAACGGACGCUAAUACCGCAUAAUGCAGCGGCACCGCAAGGUGACAGUUGUUAAAGAUUUAUCGCUUGAGGAGGAGCUUGUGGCAAGUUAGCUAGUUGGUAAGGUAAUGGCUUACCAAGGCCGCGAUCUGUAACCGGUCUAAGAGGACGGGCGGUAAAACUGACACUGAAUAACGGGUCAGACUCCUACGGGAGGCAGCAGUCGGGAAUUUUGGGCAAUGGGCGAAAGCCUGACCCAGCAACGCCGCGUGAAGGAUGAAGUAUUUCGGUAUGUAAACUUCGAAAGAAUGGGAAGAAUAAAUGACGGUACCAUUUAUAAGCUCCGGCUAACUACGUGCCAGCCGCCGCCGUAACAC